rnacentral:sRNA from 1 species
AGAUCAAAGACUAAGAACGCCACAUCCUGUGGCAAUUCUUUAUGACCCACUUCCUGUGG